rnacentral:rRNA from 1 species
CCUACGGGAGGCAGCAGUGAGGAAUAUUGGUCAAUGGACGAGAGUCUGAACCAGCCAAGUAGCGUGAAGGAUGACUGCCCUAUGGGUUGUAAACUUCUUUUAUCUGGGAAUAAAACAGGGUAUGCAUACCCUCUUGUAUGUACCAGAUGAAUAAGGAUCGGCUAACUCCGUGCCAGCAGCCGCGGUAAUACGGAGGAUCCGAGCGUUAUCCGGAUUUCUUGGGUUUAAAGGGAGCGUAGGUGGAUUGUUAAGGCAGUUGUGAAAGUGUGGGGCGUAAACGUAGAAUUGCAGUUGAAACUGGCAGUCUCGAGUACCGUAGAGGUGGGCGGAAUGCGUGGUGUAGCGGUGAAAUGCAUAGAUAUCGCGAAGAACUCCGAUUGCGAAGGCAGCUCGCUGGACUGAAACUGACACUGAUGCUCGAAAGUGUGGGUAUCGAACAGGAUUAGAUACCCCAGUAGUC